rnacentral:lncRNA from 1 species
GAAAGCAAAUGGCUCUAAUAAUUUAUCCAAAAUGCUGCUAAAUUGGUGACAUCAAAAUUGGUGCGUGUCUGUGGUACCAUCAUCAAACAACUAGAAUACAAAGUACUAUAAAAACAACUUUUUGACAUAAUCAUGUAAAUAUAGAAUAUAAUUUGUUCUACUAUAGUCCCUAGUACUUGUCCUUUACCUCCCACUUCCCUCCCUUUUUCCCUUUACUGGUCGUCUUUUAUUUAUUUAUAGUUUAUUUUAACUAGUGCUGUGUAGAUAUACAUAAAGUGAGAUUCACUGUUACAUAUGAACAUACAAUAGUUUGUAUUUGUUCGUAUUACCAUCAUCACCCAUAAACAUUUUUUUAAAUACAACUUUUAUAAUAGCAACAAAACUAACUUACCUAUAGAUAAAUCUAACAAAAGAUAUUCAAGACCUGUAAGAAAAAAAUCUUUACUAGGAGUCAUUAAAGAAAGUGUAGAAAUAACCCAUUUUAUAAUAUGAUGUCAGUUUUCCUCAAAUUGCCAUUUGGAUUCUAUGCAGCUCCAAUCAGAAUCCCAAUAAAUUUUUGUGGAACUUUACAAAUUCAUCUUAAGAUUGAAAGAAGAGCAAAGAAUUGAGACUUGUUAAUGAAUAAUAGGAAAUUUCUCAAGAAGGAAAGAGAGGAGGGCAUUUUACCUGCCUGAUACCAAGACUUAUAAAUGUAUAGUAACUACUAUUGCUGGUGCCCAUUACGUGUUAGACAGUAGAGAAUCAAGGAACAGACCCAUAUUUAUCUGGAACAUUCAUAUGUAUAAAAAGUGACAGUAGAGAAGAAAGUGUGCAUGCCUAGCUUUUAAUAAGGGAGAAGAUUGUUUUAUCAAUAUGGAAAUGGAAAAUUAAAUUGAAUUUGUUACACCAUACAUGAAAACUGAUUAAGUGUCCAAAGCAAAACUUAAAGCGUUGAAUAUUCAUACAUAGAAGAAAGUAUUAAAAUUCAGGGAAGAUUAAUAAGAUAAACUAAGUCUGUUUAUCAAAUGACUUUUUAACCAUAAAGUUAAAAGUCACAUACUGGAAGAAAAGAAUUCCCAUUAUGUGUAUAGAGAAGAAUGCCUAACAUAUAUUUUUUUUUAAAUGAGGAAAAGAAAAAUAGAAAAGGUCACAGACACAGAUGUGCUGCUUGAAGAGUAAACAUGCCCAAAACUACAGUAGUCAGAAAAUUUGAGUCAAGACCACAUGGAGAAGCAACUUUGCACCCAUUGAAUUGGCAAAAAAUCAUUUAAAAUUCUAGCCAUAUCAAGUGGUAGAGAUGGAACAGAACAGUAGAUUUCCUUAAAAUUGCUAUGAGGAGUAUAAAAAAAUAACCAGCGUAGAAAAGCACUAGGUAUCAUUUUGUUAACCUUGACCUUAUACAUAUUUCAGUACCCGGUAAUUCCGCUAGGUAUUGUAUCCCCAAGAAGCUGUUAUAAUGUCCCCCAAGCAUCAUGAACCAAGAUGUUCAUAGUACUGUUUGUAAUAGCAAGAAUUGAGAAAAACCAAAACUCUAAUCAAUGGAAGAGAAUCGUUCAAUAAAAUAAGGCAUAUUUACACCAGAAAGUAUUAAUGAGCAAUAAAAAAUAGCUGCAGCUAUAGGAAACAACACAGAGGGACAAAAUUGUAAAAGAACCUAAAUAAAAUUACAAUACAGCAUGAUAUUUUUAAAAAGUUUAAAACUAAGCCUAAAACAAUGUUCCCUACCACUUUGGUAAGCAAGGGAAUAUUAAAAAUCAAGACAGUGCCUAUUUGCUGGGAAGGCAGAAAAUUAUAUGGUGGAGUACAGAAGACAUUGCUAGUAUUUUAAGCUUUCAUUUGCCAAUUUCACUAGUCUUCAAUAUUAUUAAUAACAAAUAAUAUUCUCCCAAACCUCGAAUCUUCUCUUUUUCCAGCUUAAAUUCCCGUACUCAUUAUUUUAAUCAUAUAUCCUCAGCUCUCUGCUCCUUGUAUUUCAUUGUACAACCCCCUUAAAACCUCAACCUCUGCUAAAUUCAUCUGUCCAUUCAAAUAACCACGCAAAUUGAUUUCACUGCAGUGAGGUAAGUUCUUAAUUUCUCUAGUGGUUCUCAAACUUCAUGUAUGAGAAUCACUUACAGAACUUGUUAAAACACAUGGACUUCACUCCAGGUUCUGAGUUAGUAGAUGGGGCCAAAGAAUUUGUGAUAAGUUUCCAGGGGAUACUGAUGCUGCUGAUCUGUCUAGAAAACAGUCUCAAUAAAUUAAUAG